rnacentral:rRNA from 1 species
UACGUAGGUGGCAAGCGUUGUCCGGAUUUAUUGGGUUUAAAGGGUGCGUAGGCGGUCUUUUAAGUCAGUGCUGAAAUAUCCCGGCUUAACCGGGAGGGUGGCAUUGAUACUGAAGGACUUGAGUUCAGUCGAGGUAGGCGGAAUUGACGGUGUAGCGGUGAAAUGCGUAGAUAUCGUCAAGAACACCGAUAGUGUAGACAGCUUACUAGGCUGAAACUGACGCUGAGGCACGAAAGUGUGGGGAUCAAACAGG